ACCAAUGACCCGACUGAUCCGCUUGUCGGAGCCACUAGUCGACUAUUCAUUAAAAAGAAGACUUCUGUUCGUGUACACAUGACGUAGAUUUAGAGUUGGCUUUUGGCAGGCUGGAGGAUCGAGUGCUUUACUUAUGGACCUUGCUGCAAAUGAGAAGUCUGUUCAUGCAGAUUUCUUUAAUGAUUUUGAUGAUCUAUUUGAUGAUGAAGACUUAUCAUAACGUGUUUGGAGUCCAAUGGCUGUAAUGUUCUGUCAAUUCAUCAGAGACAAUUUUGUUGUCAGUGGAAAGAAAAUUUCAGCUGGUUCCAUUUUGCACAUGUGUUCAGUCAUUGUUGAUGUGGUCAUUGAAGCAUGUGAAGAGGCCGAUGGUGAAGGGAGGGGAGACAGUAUUGAUAAAACUAGUGUUGGUGGGUCUUGAACUUGCAAUGCUUAAAAUAAUAUAAAAUAAAGAAAUACAUAUUUUA